UCAAAGAAAAAUGGAAGAUAUAAUUUAUUUUGAUGACGAAUCCCAGGUUAAGGAGGUUUCAAAUGGGCAAUCCCAACAAUGGCCGCAAACCUCGUUUCAUACAUCGGAAGUGCAUACAUAUUCGCUCCCUACCCGGAAAACUUUUGUGACCACGCCCUUUAAAAAAAGGCAACUUGUUUAAACAGCGACAGACAGAUGAACAAGAGGAAAACAACAAAAACGCAGCUUCCAUCAACAUCACUGAACAAAUCAUUAAAAACCAGCAAGAAAUAUUGGCUAGGCUCGACCAUUUGGAAAAUUCAUUUGAUAAAAAUGUAUGUAUGUAUAAACUUUAUAUCUCGUCGCUUAGCGCGCAAUACCUCGUAUCCGCCAAAUGCAAUACCACGUAUAAAAUGCUCAUA